AAGCUGGAGUUUUGGUUUCUGUGGGGCUGCUUUUCUUGUCUCUAGUUAUCCACUAGAUGGAGCCAGGAAGCUGUGUUGUCCAGAGGGCGGUCUCAGGUGUUCAGCCAUCACACCUGCAGCCUAUCUGUCAUCAGCCAGUGUUUAAGAGAAGCCUGUCACCAGUCCUUCGAUGCCUGAGUGUUGCCGUUCAUGGUUCUCAGCGGCUGUUACCUUUGUGCCUUAUGAGUUUUAUCGUUUCACCUCCAAGAUUCUUCAUAAAGAAACCCCUGGUUCAUAAAUCCCUAUGACUGGUUCUUCUGGCUGAUCAAGUCUGUGCUACAACCUGUCCGCCCUCCAAUGAAGUGCAACUAACAAACCCUCAUCGCCGCCCAUUCUCUCUGGAUCUCCUGGCUUCAGUUCCAACCCCACCUGGACCCGGCACUCACCCUAGAAACCAAGUUCCAGCACCAGCAGAAUACCUCCCCCUGGUGGAUCAGUUCCAUUUCACUAAAUCCAGAUCUCCAGCUGUCCCAUACCCCGGGCAAAGAAGAUACAUUCAAACUCUUUUUACAAUAAACUUUAUUUAACUGACA